CGCGUGCUCCUGCCUCUCGUGGCUGGCUGUAAUGUCGUGGAGGCCUCACCGCCCCCUACUACUCCCACCGCUAGCCCAGGGUAUCCCUCUACUCACCCACACCCCCUGUUAUUCUGUGGCGACAGCAGCAGAACCAGUGAACCCUCAUACUCCUCUCCGCGUGGGCAUCCACUGCUGCGUCUUCCCCGGCUCCUUGUCGUCCCCUUCCUAGGCCUCGCCGUCGUCCACCGGCUUGGUGCUCUUGGCACGGCGUGGUAAAUGUGGUCAACGACCGACUUCCACAGAAGAGUAUUGUACAUGGAGAGGCUGACAGCUGGGUCCAAGGCCACAUCCCAGUUUUUUGUGAUUUGCCAAGUAAGUCGCUUUGUCAGGCCUGUUGGGCUGCAAAUCUUUCAAGACGAGGAGAGUGAGGGAGUCCUGGACUAGGGGGUGUCCGGAUAGCCGAACUAUCAUCAUCGGCCGGACUCCAAGACUAUGAAGAUAGAAGAUUGAAGCCUUCGUCCCGUGUCCGGAUGGGACUUUCCUUGGCGUGGAAGGCAAGCUUGGCGAUGUGGAUAUGUAGAUCUCCUACCAUUGUAACCGACUCUGUGUAACCCUAGCCCUCUCCGGUGUCUAUAUAAACCGGAUGGUUUUAGUCCGUAGGACAACGACAAUAACAACAAUCAUACCAUAGGCUAGCUUCUAGGGUUUAGCCUCCUUGAUCUCGUGGUAGAUCUACUCUUGUAAUACCCACAUCAUCAAUAUCAAUCAAGCAGGACGUAGGGUUUUACCUCCAUCAAGAGGGCCCGAACCUGGGUAAAACAUCGUGUCCCUUGUCUCCUGUUACCAUCCGCCUAGACGCACAGUUCGGGACCCCCUACCCGAGAUCCGCCGGUUUUGACACCGACAUUGGUGCUUUCAUUGAGAGUUCCUCUGUGUCGUCACCAAUAGGCUUGAUGGCUCCUUCGAUCAUCAACAACGACACGGUCCAGGGUGAGACUUUUCUCCCCGGACAGAUCUUCGUAUUCGGCGGCUUUGCACUGCAGGCCAAUUCAUUUGGCCAUCUGGAGCAGAUCAAAAGCUACGCCCCUGGCCGUCAGGUCAGAUUUGGAAGUCUGAACUUCACGGCUGACAUCCGCGGAGACUUGAUCUUCAAUGGAUUCGAGCCACAACCGAGCGCGCUGCACUGUCACGAUGGGCAUGAUUUAGCUCUGCUGCCGGACAGUGCUCUGGAGGCCGCACACGAGUCCGCUCCGACCCUCGAUUCGGAGCCGGCUGUGCAGAUUGAGGACGGGUGGUUAGACACCGCCUCAGGGGCUACAACCUCUACGGCGAUAGAGCCGAAUACUGACUUUGUCCCUUUUGAAGCUCGUGACUCCCAGGUGCCGGACCCCUUGCCGGACUCUGAACCUCCCGCGCCCCCUCCAAUCGAAUCCGAUUGGGCGUCGAUCAUGGAGUUCACCGCUGCGGACAUCUUUCAACACUCACCUUUUGGCGACGUCCUGAGUUCGCUAAAACAUCUCUCGUUAUCAGGAGAGCCCUGGCCGGACUACGGUCAGGACGGUUGGGAUGCUGACGACGAAAUUCAAGGCCCACCCACCACCCACUUAGUAGCCACUGUCGAUGAAUUAACCGACAUGCUAGACUUCGACUCCAAAGACAUCGACGACGAUGCCGGAGACGAUCAAGAACCAGCGCCUGCUGGGCACUGGAAAACCACCUCAACUCACGACGUAUACAUGGUGGAUACACCAAAAGGAAGCGAUAACGAGGAACAACGGGACGCGGCGAAGGAUAAUUCCCCCAAAAAACAACAAAAACGGCGACACAAGCGCCGCCCGAAGUCCCGCCUCAAUAACAACGGCACCCACACUGACCCAGCCGUAGAGCAGGGCGAACCAGUGGACGAGCAACCCAUUCCCGGCGAAAACAAUAGUCCAGACGAUCUCACGCCGGACACAUCACCAGAGCAUAAGAACCUUCACAGAAGGCUUGUCGCCACUGCAAGGAGUUUGAAGAAGCAAAAGCGGAAGCUCAAAACGGCGGAAGACGUACUCAAAAUGAGAGGGACCAAAGUACUCAAGACCGCAGAUAAAUACGGUGAUAGUCACCACGCAAAGAGCUACUCGAAGCACAAACUGUUGCCCGAAUUUGACGAGGAGGCCGUAGAGCCCCCACAGUCAAAAAAGAAAGAGGCCGCCUGGCCGGAUAGAUGACCAGAUAACAGGCUAAGAGCGGCAAGCGGCGCCGCACAUAAUCCGGCACACUUUCCAAAUAAGGAUCCUAGCAAAAAGGAUGGCCCAGUCAGGUCCAUCUAUGGGCCAAAAAAGAAGGCUCCAGGAGGCAACACAACCCACCGAGUGUUCGAAGAUAACGGCACACCUAAUUACAGGGGCGCCACACACCCACUAUGCUUCACUGACGAGGUACUGGAUCAUGAAUUUCCAGCAGGAUUCAAGCCCGUAAACAUAGAGGCAUAUGACGGAACAAUAGACCCCGGAGUCUGGAUUGAGGAUUAUAUCCUACACAUACAUAUGGCUAGAGGAGAUGAUCUCCACGCCAUAAAAUACCUACCCCUCAAGCUUAAAGGGCCAGCUCGGCAUUGGCUCAAAAGCCUCCCAGAAAAUACCAUUGGAAGUUGGGAAGAGCUUGAGGAUGCGUUUAGAGCAAAUUUUCAGGGAACUUAUGUCCGCCCUCCGGACGCAGACGAUUUAAGUCACAUAACUCAACAGUCCAGGGAGUCAGCACGCAAAUUCUGGAACAGGUUCCUCACCAAAAAGAACCAAAUAGUCGACUGUCCGGACGCCGAAGCCUUAGCAGCCUUUAAACAUAACGUCCGAGACGAAUGGCUCGCCAGACACCUCGGCCAGGAAAAACCUAGAACAAUGGCCGCACUAACAAGCCUCAUGACCCGUUUUUGCGCGGGGGAAGAUAGCUGGCUAGCAAGAUGCAGCACCAGCGACCCGAGUACAUCCGAGGUCAGGGAUGGAAAUGGGAAAUCACGAUGCAGAAAAGAUCAGCGCAGGAAUAAGGAAAGCGGCCCAAACAGCACGGCGGUUAACGCCGGAUUCAAAAAGCUCUCGGCCGAACAACAAAACAAUGCCCCUUAAGGACAAUAGUGACGAGCUAUCCAACCUAAACAAAAUCAUGGAUAUGAUAUGUCAAAUCCACAGUAACCCCGGGAAGCCUGCAAACCAUACCCACAGAGAUUGUUGGGUCUUCAAGCAGUCCGGCCGACUUAACGCCGAACACAAGGGGCUCGACACACCAAGCGAAGACGAUGACGAAUCCCACAAGCAGCAGACCGGAGCACAGAAGACUUUUCCACUAGAGGUCAAAACAGUGAACUCACUUCAUGUGAUAAAUUGUGCGGAAGCGAUAUAAACCUGCUAUACCAGGACACCAUCCGCAUAAUGGGGAUAGACCCUACCAAAAUUCGCCAUAGCAACACUUUCUUCAAAGGAGUGGCGCCAGGCCCUUAUGCCAAGUGUACAGGCUCUGUACUACUAAAAGCUGUGUUCGGUUCACCCGACAAAUUCCGUCGCGAAAAGCUAAUCUUCCAUAUCGCCCCAUUCAAAAGUGGCCAUCAAGCACUACUGGGACGCGAAGCUUUCGCCCGCUUUAACGCAAUACCACAUUUACGCGUCUCUUACACUCAAAAUGCCCGGUCCACGCGGCAUCAUCCCAUUAAAGGGAAACUCCGAGUGUUCCUCGACCACGAAAAACGUGAGACUGCCUUGACAGCCGCACAUUAAUCCAACCUUGCUGAUCAAAGCCCCUAAAAACAGGUCAUUUAGACCUCGGACACGGUUAGGCGAGUCCGACAUAAAUAAACAAGGGGCUUCCCAGCCGCAUACCUCUUUACAAGGGGCUGCACGUAUAAACAAUGAGAGCCACUAAAGCUCAAUCUUUCCAAAUCAUACUCUGUUUUAAAUACAUCUUUCGCACGAUAUUUUUUCCAAACUAAGUUCUUCUCUUUUACAGAUGAAUCACGUGCUACACCCGUCCAGGAUACAGCACAACGGAGACACAGGUGCAGACGUGUAGCAGGGACCCGUUACAAGGAUUCUUUUCAGAUUAAGACCCUGCGUAAACCUUUCUUACUGUCUCUUUUGUUACUCAUCCCCCGGUUUCCUACCAUAACCGAGGAGGAGGCUGGCGUUUUGGCAUCGACCGCGUCAGAAGUUUUCACCUGUGCCUGGACAUUAGGGGCUUAGGGCACUGUUCUGCCCGUUAUCAUAAAGUCCGAAUACCUUAGGGAGUGUUCGGCGUCUCGAGUUAGGCCUUAUAUGCAUCAGCUCCGAAUCAUGUCUUUGGUCAAAUGUUGGGUUUGCCCGGCUCCUGUGUUUUGCUGCCUUACAUUCUGCUCCAUCGGCUAACGCGGCACCAGGAGAACUACUGCGAUUGUGCCCCGGUUCGGCCGGGCGAGCACCUCAGUAGAGAAAGCCGAAAACUGACUGUCAUGAUACAGCGAGAGACUGGUCAACCACUCGAUCGACUAUUGGAAUGUUUAGAAUUCCUCCACUUUGAUGAAGGACCGCUUCCCGGUCAGGCACACACGCGCCCCGAGUUUGGAGAGCGCGGUGCCUCUAGGGGCUAUAUCGUAGCCCCACCAUCGAGCUCCUAUGGCUAAGUGAAAGUGAUAAAGCAUUAUAGUCCGGUUGCCUAGUUUUCUAUGCUAUCACCUCCUUCAAAGGACCAAGACAUUGGAUUAAGUGUGAAAAUGCACUUUUUUUUGCAAACACCCCCGCACUAUGUGCGUGGGGGCUGAAGCCAAAGACUGCCAUCUUUCAGGUUAUAAAUACAUAUAUAUUAACGGGCGCACAUGAGAUAUUUCAAUACUUGAACGCACAAGUAUAAAAAGUCGUUAUAUUAUAAAUAUGAUCUCACAAAUCAUACACGUCAUUUGAACAUGACAUUUUUCGAGCACUGCGACUCUAUUAAACGAGCGCCCUGCAGGACUUCCUCAAAAUAGUGCUCGGUGGGUAAUCGGCUCUCGUCCGAACCCCGGGACGCAACAUCGGUGGCAUUCAUAUCCACCCAGUAUGUCUUAACACGGGCAAGAGCCAUCCGUGCACCCUCUAUGCAGGCCAACUGCUUCAUCGCCUUGAUAUGCGGCACCGCCCCAAGGAAUUGCUGCAAUAAACCAAAAUAACUCUUCGGCUUGGGCCUUUCUGGCCACAGAUGAGCCACCACAUCCGUCAUGGCUAGUCCGGACAAUCCAUUUAGCUCAGCCCACUCAACUAACUGAUCGGUCAACGGCAGUGGACGCUCCAGACUAUGGAAUUGAGACCAAAACAGCUCUUCCAUUUCAUGAUCCUUCUGACUUCGGAAGUGCCGAACUGCGUUCGCCACACUCGCCGCCAAAUCCAGAUAAGAAUCCUCCGCACUCCACAACUGGCCCAACUAAGCAUACUUCGGAUCCGUGAAUUUCCUACGCAAUAGAAAGGGCUUUCCAGCCACAAUGUCUCCGUCCUGACGCAGUUCCUCCUUUAUAGCCCACAUUGCAGAACGAGCAUCCUUGGCUUCGGCGGUGGCCUUCUUCAGGCCCUCUUGCUCCGCUUGGCGUUCUCUUUCAAGAACAUCAUAGCGGUCGGUAGCAUCUUUUAAUUUCACGGCCAUUACGGCCAUUUCCUCCCUGCUUCGGCAAUGAGCAGCCUUCUCGGCUUUUAGCUCCUCCGCUGCCUUCAACGCAGCCACAUCACUUUUUCUGGCUUGGUCCUUGGCUCGAGCAAGCUCCGCCCAAAGGUCUUCCACAGCAGCGACACCAUCUGCAUCAAGCAUACAUGUUGUAAGGAGUGGGCGUCAGCUCCCUUACCAGGUGACCGCGGAAACACCCCUUACCUUGUGACUCGUCAAGUCGUUUAUUGACCAGCGUGAUGUUCGCAUCCGCAACACCGAGUUGCCGCUUCAGUUCGGCAACUCUAUCAGUCCGGCUGGCCACCGAACGCUCUGCCACCUGCAUAGGAAAGGUGACAUUUCGUAUCUGAGAUUAUGAUCCUCGGCACGCUGUCGCUUUCGACAACAUACCGAGUCUCAGGGGCUACUAUCUAUACAGGGCGCACCCUAUGUGCAACACUAUCAAAAGGUAUGUCAUUUUUUUUGCGUACCUCAAACCCCGUCAGUAAACUUCUGACGGCCUCAUGUAACCCGCUUUUGGCGGAUGAGAUCCUUUCAAUCACCGCACUCAUUAAUGCACGGUGAUCUUCUGAGAGAGACACCCUCUCGAGCAAACCCUGCAGCUCCACCGGCCGCACUCCAGUGGGUGCUGAACUCCCAGGCCCCGCCGGACUCGGGGAGACCCUCCGUGACGACACCUCAGGGUCGUCCGCCCCUCCUGAUGGGACAGCAAAUGGAGGCGUUUCGCUCUCCAUCAUCUCCGGACGAAGGUCCCCCGAGGAUGAGCUCUGCUGGGAAGGGCUGAGAUCUGAACUACAAGGUAAAAACUUUGGUUAUCCUUAGAAAUAAAAUAGGGAUGCCCUUUAUUAUAAAAACUUCUCUUUUUUCUACUUACGGCUCGCUGGAGGGCUGAUUCCUUUGGGGAGACUGUACGGCCGGGACUCCUCCCGGCACAGGACCUUCUGGUGCAGAUUUCUUUCCCCGCUUCGAGGCUUUGGCCUCCGGGUUUUCGGAAGCGGUCCUCUUCUCCCCCUGGAGGGAGAGAUUCUUGAUUCCCCCCUUACUGAGAGCCUCCUUAACAGAGGUGGUAGUUUCCCUGUUCCCCCCUUCGCCUUCCUUCGAAGGCGCAACCUCCAACAUUUUGAUUAACACGGGAUCCGGCGUGGUCUCAGGGAGGGGGCCGGACACCGUAUCAGUUUUGCUUGCACUAUCCACUCCUGUUCAAGGGAUAGUUGGUUAAAAGGCCAAUCCAUGAUAAAUAAAUGGAUGAUGUGUCCGGUCACAGGGCUACUUACUUGAAUAUCCGGGCGAUUGCAGCUUAGGCCAGCGUCCUCGGUCAAGUCCGGACACACUUCUUGUGAUCUGAAGAACAGUUUGUACAUCUCCACGGGUUUUGUACCCAUAAAGUGUUGGAGAGCUCGUGGUCCCUCCGGAUUGAAUUCCAACAGACGAAGAGGGCGACGUUUGCAGGGCAGAAGACGCCGAAUCAGCAUAACCUGCGUCACUACGACCAGAUUGAUCUCCCUCUCUUGGAGAUCUCGAAUCCGGCCCUGCAAUAGGGUACGUCCUUGGACGGCCCCAGUCGAACCCUUUGUUGACCCACGAUGUUAGCCGUGGUGGAGGGCCCGGGCGAAAGGCGGGCGGCGGCCUCUGCCUGCUGCCCCUGGGAGCGGUGAUAUAGAACCACUCCUGUUGCCACAAACCGAGCUCCUCCUGAAAAGAGCCCUCGGGCCAUGGAGCAUCGGCCCUCUUGCUUAUAAUCGCCCCGCCGCACUCUGCCUGACGCCCCUCAAUCAUCUUCGGCUCCACAUUGAAGGUUUUGAGCCACAAACCAAAGUGAGGGGUAGUGCGGAGGAAGGCUUCGCAGACAACAAUAAAUGAUGAGAUAUGGAGGAUAGACUCCGGAGCUAGGUCGUGGAAUUCCAGCCCAUAGUAAAACAGGAGCCCCCUCACGAAGGGAUCCAUCGGGAAGCCUAAACCCCGACGGAGGUGAGGCACGAACACGACGCUCUCGCCAGGCUCAGGGGUAGGAAUGACUUGCCCUUGGGCAGGCAACCUAUGCGAAAUCUCGUAGGUUAAGUACCUGGCGUCCCUAAGCUUUAGCACGUCCUCUUCCGUGACGGAGGAGGGCAUCCACCGACCCUGAAGGUCAGAGCCGGACAUUGUCGAAGGUCCGAAGUACCUGAAUCUGGAGCCCUGGGUGUUGGAACUCGGGGCGAGGGGCGGAUUCGAUUGGGGAUUGAAGAAAAGGAACGGGCCUUGGUCUCAUUAUAAAGGGGGAGAAUACCAAGAGCCGUCUCCGUGACCGUUUAGAACCCGCCUUCAUGGAGGGGGCGUGGCAACGGGCGCGGUUGGGUUACCCACGCCCGUAUUGAUGAGAAUCCCGGAAUAAGGGGAACACGAUCUCUGCUUCGACAAGACGUGCCAAGGAAACCGCUUCGGUAAAUGCACUGAGGCGGUAUAAUAAAAACGAUUCAAGUAAAGGCUUGGUUGUGGUGUGACGCCACGCCAUGAAAUACGUCAGCCGAUUGAACUUGUGUGAAUAUUAUUCUCUCUACGGUGGAGUGUGGAAUUUAUUUUGUAGAACCGGACACUAUCCUGGUGUUCACAAUCUUCUACAAAUUAUUCGAAGAAGGAACCCGCCUUGCAAUGCCGAAGACAAUAUGCGCGCCGGACUCGUCGUCAUUGAAGCCUGGUUCAGGGGCUACUGAGGGAGUCUUGGACGGUGUCCGGAUAGCCGAACUAUCAUCAUCGGCCCGACUCCAAGACUAUGAAGAUAGAAGAUUGAAGACUUUGUCCCAUGUCCGGAUGGGACUUUCCUUGGCGUGGAAGGCAAGCUUGGCGAUGCGGAUAUGUAGAUCUCCUACCAUUGUAACUGACUCUGUGUAACCCUAGCCCUCUCCGGUGUCUAUAUAAACCGGAUGGUUUUAGUCCGUAGGACAAUGACAAUAACAACAAUCAUACCAUAGGCUAGCUUCUAGGGUUUAGCCUCCUUGAUCUCGUGGUAGAUCUACUCUUGUAAUACCCACAUCAUCAAUAUCAAUCAAGCAGGACGUAGGGUUUUACCUCCAUCAAGAGGGCCCGAACCUGGGUAAAACAUCGUGUCCCUUGUCUCCUGUUACCAUCCGCCUAGACGCACAGUUCGGGACCCCCUACCCGAGAUCCGCCGGUUUUGACACCGACAGAGAGCUUCAUUCGGCUGGCCGAGAAAAUGGCCUAUCAGCAAUGAGAAAUGGGCUGCACAUUUUUAAGACACAUCAAACCAGCAAUUAGUUUCAAAUAUCUUUUUUUCAUUUCGAGAUUUUAAAUUACAUUAAUUUUUAUGCGUGGAGAAUUUGUUGGAUUUUAUAUUGUUAUACAUUUAUUUUUAAAAUCAGUUUGAAUGUGAGUCGAAAUUUCGGGAUUAAAAACAGUUCGGACCGCACCGAAAUAUGCAAAAUUUCGUAUAAUUUUUUAACCGUGGCCACAAUAUGGGCUGUAAUGCUAACAAAAAGAAUAUGGGCUCCAAAAAAACCUUAAGAAUUAGCAAAUAGGCUGUAAAUUAUUAGAAAUAAUGGCAGAUGGGCUGUAUGCUGUUUUCCACAGAUUUGAGGCUUUCCUAAAAAAAGGUUAACGCACAAGCAGUGACUGUUGGAUGGCCAUCCAACGGCCGUCGUGCUUCUUCAAUCUCUGCUCUUCCUGCUCCAGUCGCUCAAACAAGCACCGGCGGGACUGCCUGCCUCCUCCUCCCCGCGGCCGGCCGUGCUGCCGCGCAGGCCUCACGGCCCCAUCGUACUCCAAUCGCUGGCCUAGCCAUCCCUCUACUCACCAACACCUGCUAUUAUUCUCCGGCGACGGCAGGCGAACCAGUAAACCCUCGUUCAGUCGUACUCCCCUCCGCGUGGGAAACAACUGCGGAGUCUUCCCUGCCUCCGUGUCAUUCCCUUCCUAGGCCUCACAGUCGUCCACCGCCCUGGUGCUCUCGGCGCGGCCUGGUCAACAUGGUCAACGACUGACAUGCAUCUGAAGUGGACUGUACGUGGAGAGGCCGACAGCUGGGUCCACGGCCGCACGCAAGGAAAUACCUCCUUAUUACGCACAAAAUAAUGAUUCCUCCACCUGACAUCGGGGACCCACCGAAAGAGCCUCAGUAUUUCCCAAAAAAAUGUUACCGCCGCUGACAGCUCGGACCCACCAGCUAUAUCUUCGCACGCAAGGAAGUGCCUCCUUAUUACGCACAAAAAAAUGAAUACUCCCCAUGUUAGCUGGGACCCAGUAUAGUGGCAGGCUGACUUGUGGGCCUACUAAGUUGACGGUGACGGAGGGCUUUGUCAACUUAGUCAAUAUGCACGAUUCUAGCUGCAGUGACCGUAUGAUGUCCAUUCAACGGCCGUAGUGCUUCUUCAACCUCUGGUCUUCCUGCUCCAGCCACCCAAACCAGCGCCAGUCGUGCCUCAUGCUCCUGCCUCCCGUGGCCGGCUGUGAUGCGGCGGAGGCCUCACCGUCCCCUACUACUCCCACCGCUGGCCAGGCCAUCCCUCUACUCACCCACACCCCCUGUUAUUCUGCAGCGACGGCAGCCUCGCACCGCAACGAACCAGUGAACCCUCGUACUCCUCUACGCGUGGGCAUCCACUGCCGCGUCUUCCCCGGCUCCGCGUCGUCCCCUUCCUAGGCCUUGCCGUCGUCCACCGCCCUGGUGCUCUCGGCACGGCGUGGUCAACAUGGUCAAGGAACGGCUUCCAUCGGACAUGGACUGUACGUGGAGAGGCUGACAGCUGGGUCCACGGCCGCAGCAAGGAAGUGCCUCCUUAUUACGCGUAAAAUAAUUAUUCCUCCACCUAACAGCGGGGACCCACCGGACGGGCCACCAUAUUUCAGGAAAAAAACGUAUCCCCCCUGACUGCUGGGACCCACCAGCUACACCUUUGAACGCAAGGAAGUGUGUCCGGGCAAAAAAAAAGAUUCGCCCCCCUGACUGCUGGGACCCACCAGCUACAUCUUCGCACGCAAGAAAGUGCCUGACAGUCGGGACCCACCUGGUCGAAGCAUACGUAGCUUGUCAUUCUGGUCGCGAAUGUGUACGUACAUACUGGUCGAUGUAGAGGCGCGCACGUGUCAUAGAUGUAGAGGCGCGCACGUGUCGUAGUAGAGGCGCGCAUGUAGCAUGACACGUACGUACAGCGGCGAGGGUGCAAGAAAAAAAAUACGACCACGUACGUACAUACGGGCAAGGUCUCGAACGCCUACUCGCGCAUACGUACAUGGCUGGGUCGGAACGGAGAAACAGCGUCAUCGUCGUGUUCAUGGGGAGCCAACCGGCUGGGUCGGAACAGAAUGCGUGGUCGUGUUCAUCGGGAGGGCUUGGACGGAACAGGCGAUGGAAACGAGGCCUGGCGUACCGCACAACGGAGGAAACGUCCUUGUGUUCGACCGGCCACGUUCGAAAUGGGGUCCUGUUGAUCGGGAGGGGCCUGGCGUACCGCAAAACGGAGGAAAUGGACCUCCUACGGUCGAAACGGGGGUCCUGUUGAUCGGGAGGGGUGUGGCGUACNNNNNNNNNNNNNNNNNNNNNNNNNNNNNNNNNNNNNNNNNNNNNNNNNNNNNNNNNNNNNNNNNNNNNNNNNNNNNNNNNNNNNNNNNNNNNNNNNNNNNNNNNNNNNNNNNNNNNNNNNNNNNNNNNNNNNNNNNNNNNNNNNNNNNNNNNNNNNNNNNNNNNNNNNNNNNNNNNNNNNNNNNNNNNNNNNNNNNNNNNNNNNNNNNNNNNNNNNNNNNNNNNNNNNNNNNNNNNNNNNNNNNNNNNNNNNNNNNNNNNNNNNNNNNNNNNNNNNNNNNNNNNNNNNNNNNNNNNNNNNNNNNNNNNNNGGCGUACUGCAAAACGGGACUCCACGGGGUACUGUUCAUCUCCACCGUCGACCUCCUCCAGCAUCCACGGGUUACCGUCGACCUCCUCUAGCCUCCACGGGCACCUCUUCAUCCAGCGUCCACCGCACGCUACUCCACCGGCUACUGUUCAACCACCCCUCCACAGGCACCCCUCCACCGUCUACUGUUCAUCCAGCCCUCCACACCACGGGGUCCUGUUCAACCACCCCUCCAUGGCCACCCCUCCACCGUCUACUGUUCAUCCAGCCCUCCACACAACGGGUUUCUGUUCAUCCGAAGGCAACGCCACCGCUCACUAUUCAUCCACCCCCCGCAACGCUCACUGUUCAUCCCAAAGGCAGCAUCGAUCGGCUUCAGUUAGCAGCAGUAGCGAAGGAAUCGCUCCAUCGGGUUCAGUUAACAGCCAUCGAUCGAUCGCUCGGGUUCAGUAACGCGUAGCCUGCAGUGCAAUGGGUUUAGUUAGAACCCAACCCCUCGCUCGGCUUCAGUUAGAGCCAACGCCUCGCACACACGCGCGUACGUACGAGAGAAACGCGCAUCGCUCCGCCCCCGACCUCCCAUCGUAACCGGCAACUCCCCGAAAUUUUCCUCCCCCUCGCUUCUACCACGGUUUUUUCCGUCAUGGACGGCCCAAAGAAUGUCAUGCAGUUGCGUCUCUGGCCCGCCCAGGAUGAAAAGCCCAUUUUCUGUCAUGAUUUUUUGUCAUAGAAGUAGGAGCCCACCACAUCUAUGAUGAUACCGGGUUUUGUCACAAUUAUCGUCAUAGAAGUGUCAUAUGUAUGACAGAAAAAAAAUUCAUUCGGCCCAAAAUGUCAGGGAUGUGUAUUUUUUUUGUAGUGAUACCUUGAUAAGAUUUUGAAGUAGUUCAAAAUGGAACAGUCAAAGAAAGAGUUCUUGCCUGUGUUGCAACGUGUGAAAUUGAAUAAGACUCAAAGCCUGACCACGGCAGAAGAUAGAAAGAGAAUGAAAGUCAUUCCCUAUGCCUCAACCAUAGGUUCUAUAAAGUAUGCCAUGCUGUGUACCAGAUCUAUUGUAUACCUUACACUGAUUUUGGCAAGGGAGUACAAUAAUGAUCUAGGAGUAGAUCACCGGACAGCGGUCAAAAUUAUCCUUAGUGAAAUAAGGAUAUGUUUCUCGAUUAUGGAGGUGACAAAAAGGUUCAUCGUAAAGGGUUACAUCGAUGCAAGUUUUGACACUGAUCCAGAUGACUCUAAGUCUCAAUCUGGAUACAUAUUGAAAGUGGGAGCAAUCAGCUAGAGUAGCUCCGUGCAAGAGCAUUGUUGACAUAGAAAUUUGCAAAAUGCAUACGGAUUUCAAUGUGGCAGACCCGUUGACUAAACUUCUCUCACAAGCAAAACAUGAUCACACCUUAGUACUCUUUGGGUGUUAAUCACAUAGCGAUGUGAACUAGCUUAUUGACUCUAGUAAACCCUUUGGGUGUUAAUCACAUGGUUAUGUGAACUAUUGGUGUUAAAUCACAUGGUGAUGUGAACUAGAUUAUUGACUCUAGUGCAAGUGGGAGACCGAAGGAAAUAUGCCCUAGAGGCAAUAAUAAAGUUAUUAUUUAUUUCCUUAUAUCAUGAUAAAUGUUUAUUAUUCAUGCUAGAAUUGUAUUAACCGGAAACAUAAUACAUGUGUGAAUAUAUAGACAAACAUAGUGCCACUAGUAUGCCUCUACUUGACUAGCUCGUUAAUCAAAGAUGGUUAAGUUUCCUAACCAUAACAUGAGUUUUCAUUUGAUUAACGGGAUCACAUCAUUAGGAGAAUGAUGUGAUUGAUUUGACCCAUUCUGUUAGCUUAGAACUUGAUCAUUUAGUAUGUUGUUAUUGCUUUCUUCAUGACUUAUACAUGUUCCUAUGACUAUGAGAUUAUGCAACUCCCGUUUACCGGAGGAACACUUUGUGUGCUACCAAAGUCAAAACGUAACUGGGUGAUUAUAAAGGUGCUCUAUAGGUAUCUCCGAAGGUACUUGUUGGGUUGGCGUAUUUCGAGAUUAGGAUUUGUCACUCCGAUUGUCGGAGAGGUAUCUCUGGGCCCACUCGGUAAUGCACAUCACUAUAAGCCUUGCAAGCAUUGCAAUUAAUGAGUUAGUUGUGGGAUGAUGUAUUACGGCACGAGUAAAGAGACUUGCUGGUAACAAGAUUAAACUAGGUAUUGAGAUACCGACAAUCGAAUCUCGGGCAAGUAACAUACCGAUGACAAUGGGAACAACGUAUGUUGUUAUGCGGUUUGACCGAUAAAAAUCUUCGUAGAAUAUGUGGGAGCCAAUAUGAGCAUCCAGGUUCCGCUAUUGGUUAUUGACCGGAGACGUGUCUUGGUCAUGUCUACAUAGUUCUCGAACCCGUAGGGUCCGCACGCUUAAAGUUUGAUGAAGGUUAUAUUACGAGUUUAUGUGUUUUGAUGUACCGAAGGAGUUCGGAGUCCCGGAUGAGAUCGAGGACAUGACGAGGAGUCUCGAAAUGGUCGAGACGUAAAGAUCGAUAUAUUUGACGACUAUAUUCGGACAUCGGAAAGGUUCCUAGUGAUUCGGGUAUUUUUCGGAGUACCGAAGAGUUACGGGAAUUCGUAUUGGGCCUUAAUGGGCCAUACGGGAAAGGAGAGAAAUGCCCCAAAGGGUGGCCGCACCCCUCUCCAUGGACUAGUCUGAAUUGGACUAGGGAGGGGGGGCGCCCCCUUCCUUCCUUCUCCUUCUCCCUUCCCUUCUUCUACUCCAACAAGGAAAUUAAGGAGGAGUCCUAAUCCCGGUGGGAGUAGGACUCCUCCCUUGGCGCGCCCUCCUCCUAGGCCGGCCGCCUCCCCCCUUGAUCCUUUAUAUACGGGGGCAGGGGGGCACCUCUAGACACAACAAUUGAUCUCUUGGAUCUCUUAGCCGUGUGCGGUUCCCCCCUCCACCAUAAUCCACCUCGAUAAUAUCGUAGCGGUGCUUAGGCGAAGCCCUGCAUCGGUAGAACAUCAUCAUCGUCACCACGCCGUCGUGCUGAUGAAACUCUCCCUCAAAGCUCGGCCGGAUCGGAGUUCGAGGAACGUCAUCGAGCUGAACGUGUGCUGAACUCGGAGAUGCCGUGCGUUCGGUACUUGAUCGGUCGGAUCGUGAAGACGUACGACUACAUCAACUGUGUUGUGCUAACGCUUCCGCUUUCGGUCUAUGAUGGUACGUGGACACACUCUCCCCUCUUGUUGCUAUGCAUCACCAUGAUCUUGCGUGUGCGUAGGAUUUUUUUUUUUGAAAUACUACGUUCCCCAACAACAUUGAUGCUAGACUGGAAAUUUUGCCAGUCUAAUGUCGAUUAUGAUAUUAAUGUAACAUGUGGCGUAUGAUUAUAUUUCUGACCAAACAUUGUUUGUAAUAACGUGUCACACUACAUUAAGUUCUUCUCCGCCAUCCGCUCUAUAGUGAUGCAAAUCUAUAUAUGUUAUAAAGACAAUCCCCACUAGCGGAAAUCCAGACAAUCCCCACUUACGUUCUACGCUAAGGGAAAACUCGAAAGGUUAAAGGUUUGUAGCCAAAAUGCUCAUAGUAAAGAGAGAGGAGAUCUGUUGUGAUGACAUAUUUUAUCUAUGGAAUUGUCAUGAUGCUCAUGUCAUGUUUUUAUGUUGGCUUAAAGAAUGUUUUACGUGGCUCAGCUAGAAGGUUUUGUCAUGAAAGAAAGGUAACAUAAGGCAUGUUGUCUAAAUAAUUCAUUUUAUGAAUUAAGUUAAACAUUUAUACAAUGGUACCUUUAAGUCUGGGGGAGUAAGUUCACUACAUUAUGUAGAUGAAAACUCACUCGCUAAACCAAGAAUUUUGUAUCUCCCAAUAGUGACAUAUAGCAUCUUAGUGUUUUUCCAUGCAUUAAAUGUAUGGAGAAUCACCGGGGGACAUAAGUCCAAGAGGAUUACAUGUCGUAUUAUGAUGGAAUACAUCGAUGGAGCCCAAAAGGAACACAUUGUGCAUUAGUGCAAUAUCUCAGUCGCUCAUAAAGUCGAGGGCAAUAAAGUUGGACAUUUAAGUGUAUGAGGAACCAUUUAAACUGAUCAGAUAAUGUCAGUUUCUUAUGCUUCAGCUAUCAGAAGCGUCAUGUAUUAAAGUAUCACCACGUCCUCUUAUUUACGAUCAGGAUAUUUGGUAAAAAAAUGUGUUUAUUCCAGAACUAGACCAUUGGAGAGCCGAUAUCAAGUUUUUGCAGUAUAUGCAAGGCAAUAAAGAUAACAUGCUCACUCCGAACGAAUUUGAUAACCUCAAAUUUGUGGGUUAAUCAGACAUUGGUUUGGCAAGAUGUGUAGAUAUGAGGACUUUCAUGUAAAGUUACAUCUACACUGUUGCAUGAGGAGAUUCGUGAGGAGUUCAUAAAGGAAAAUCAUGAAAUAAUCAAUGAUGCAAACGAAUUCAUGGCAUGUUAAGAGGCUAUCGGGCACGUUGUAUGUGAAAGGAAUCUUAUUGCUGAAAUGGUAGUGGUACUGUGGUAGACAACAUACUUAAUCAACUUACUUCGAUCAUGAACAUGUAGUUCUCUAUGCGAGUAACAACUAGUCAAUUGGUAUUGCCAAAACCACUGACUUUAUGUCAUUGUUGUGAAAUAUAGAGUUCAUGAUCAAACAUACGAUGUUUGAUUUGUAAGUUUUUGAGGUUCCUCUAAGCAAGGCUUAGCAUUUACCCUUUUAUGAUAAGGUUGUCGGCAUGGGUUAGGGAAGCUUUUUGAUCCUGGAAAUUUAGGACCAUCAAAUAAACCAACUCCCAUAAAGUAUUAUGUAUUCCAUUUUGAGGUAGAUGAUAUACUAUAAGUAUUGAGGUUAAGCGACACUUCAUCCCUAGAUCGCCAUUGUUACUGAUUUCAGAUAAAAGAAAGUCCCUUUUUGACAUAUAUCUGUAUAUUGUAUACACGAAUAUAGGAUCCGCUAUACCCUAGAAAAAUCUUUUCCAAUACUGGAAUAGACAGAUUUAGUAGAGAACAACUUGUUACCAUUGACCAGUCAACUAAGAAUCCAGACGGUGCUUGGAGGGGAUAUCAAUUUGGAGAUGGAAAACAUCAGGAACAAUAUCUAGGCAACUCUUUACUUCCCUACAAAAAAAGAGUGUACGAGUAGACAAAUGGAUACCACCGAGCAGCUCAAUAUCUAGGCAAGCUUGCGAAAAAUGUCAAGUUGCAGUUAACCAGCUUGGGAUAAGAACAACCGUCACUCUGAAAACUACAUCUGCCAUCCCCUUCACGACACCUACGUUUUUCACAGCCUCUCACGGCUAAAACCGACGCUUCCCACGUGAACGGGCGCUACGUUUACGUCUGCGUCCCCAGUGAAAUUAUCAGCGACGAGCGCCAACUGCCAAGUGGAGUGAGCACUGAGCAGACAGACAGACACACCCGUGAUCUGAAGAAAUCCGAGGAAAAACCCACGGCCACGAGAAAAUCCACGGCACCCAAUCGCCAACCCCCACGGCGAUCCCGAGCCGCAGCCACACCUGUUCCCUCCACCCUGAGGCUCUCGCCGCGCCACCUCGCCCGCGAUAUCCACCCCGCCAAUGGCGUCCGAGCUCCAGAUUUUUCUGGCCCCCGCACGUCUCAUCCCCUUCCCCUUCCUCCCGCCGGGUUAAAUAGCCGCCUCCGCCGCUCCUCUCAAACCAUCCCGCCAUACACCACCACAGCCCCACUCCUAGAGAGCACGCACAUCGGACACGCACGAAGUCUCCUCGACCAGCGAGCAAUGGCGACCACCGCGAUGGCGCUCUCCCCCUCCUCCUUCGCCGGGAAGGCGGUGAAGGACCUGCCGUCGUCGGCGCUCUUCGGGGAGGCGCGCGUCACCAUGCGCAAGACCGCGGCCAAGGCCAAGCCGGUGUCGUCGGGCAGCCCGUGGUACGGCUCCGACCGCGUGCUCUACCUCGGCCCGCUAUCCGGCGACCCCCCGAGCUACCUCACCGGUGAGUUCCCCGGCGACUACGGAUGGGACACCGCGGGGCUCUCGGCCGACCCCGAGACCUUCGCCAAGAACCGGGAGCUGGAGGUGAUCCACUGCCGGUGGGCCAUGCUGGGCGCGCUCGGCUGCGUCUUCCCGGAGCUGCUCGCCCGCAACGGCGUCAAGUUCGGCGAGGCCGUGUGGUUCAAGGCCGGCUCCCAGAUCUUCAGCGAGGGCGGCCUCGACUACCUCGGCAACCCCAGCCUCGUCCAUGCGCAGAGCAUCCUCGCCAUCUGGGCCUGCCAGGUCGUGCUCAUGGGCGCCGUCGAGGGCUACCGCGUCGCCGGCGGCCCGCUCGGCGAGAUCGUCGACCCGCUCUACCCCGGCGGCAGCUUCGACCCCCUGGGCCUCGCUGACGACCCCGAGGCGUUCGCGGAGCUCAAGGUGAAGGAGAUCAAGAACGGCCGCCUCGCCAUGUUCUCCAUGUUCGGCUUCUUCGUGCAGGCCAUCGUCACCGGCAAGGGCCCUCUCGAGAACCUCGCCGACCACCUUGCCGACCCCGUCAACAACAACGCCUGGGCCUUUGCCACCAACUUCGUGCCCGGCAAGUAAGCUGCUAGGUGUUGUGUUAUGUCUGGAAACCGACCGUGCACGUACGUACGUACGCGAUCAAGUGUGCGCAUGCAUGCGUGCAUGCAGCUGGGUUUCGUUUGUACUACAACCAUGCAUGAUGUAAAGUACGAAGGUUGAAUGCAAAAGGCUGUUGUUAGACAUGAUGAUCUCUUAGGAUCAACCUGAGCAUGCAAUCACCUGUGUUAAUUAACCGGUAGUUGAUCUUGCAAUCGAUCGGCUUUCAGUUUCUUAGUUCAGUGGAUGCUUAUCAUACAGUGGCCGGCAGUGGAUCUUUACAGCAGUAAAAGUAGAUGUCUUUGGCG
rnacentral:lncRNA from 1 species